rnacentral:rRNA from 1 species
AUGACCGAGGAGCAAAACGAUGCCAUAGUGAAGGCCCAAGUGGACGCCCAUUUUGGACCGAAACCGGCACCGCCGCCGAGGGAGAAAGUGCUUGAGGAAAAGAUUGACCACUUCAUUCGUAUGGCCAGACCACCAGCUCCCAAGCCUGUUGACUCAGACUAUGAGCGCCAAAUCAGGAAGGCACAUCGAGCACGACUACAGAAAAAAGCGAGCUCGAGCUCGAGCCAACAAGCAGCUGUCAAAAAUGCGGGAAAACCGUUCCCCAGCUGGGAGAACAGGCGGCGCAAUCGACCCCCCCGCUUGUUGUGCCAACAACACAUGAGAGUACGUGCGCCCAAUAUUAUUGUGGGCAAACCGUUUACGUUCCCGAGCUGGGCGAUGUGGUAA